UACUCUGAGUGAUUUCCGUUAAGGAGAUCUUUUGGCACCUCUAAAAAUGGUGCAGAAUAAGGGGUGGGCAAGUCUGGUGUCAGCCGCCGCGGUAAUACCAGCACCCCGAGUGGUCGGGACGUUUAUUGGGCCUAAAGCAUCCGUAGCCGGUUCUACAAGUCUUCCGUUAAAUCCACCUGCUUAACAGAUGGGCUGCGGAAGAUACUAUAGAGCUAGGAGGCGGGAGAGGCAAGCGGUACUCGAUGGGUAGGGGUAAAAUCCGUUGAUCCAUUGAAGACCACCAGUGGCGAAGGCGGCUUGCCAGAACGCGCUCGACGGUGAGGGAUGAAAGCUGGGGGAGCAAACCGGAUUAGAUACCCGGGUAGUCCCAGCUGUAAACGAUGCAGACUCGGUGAUGAGUUGGCUUUAUGCCAACUCAGUGCCGCAGGGAAGCCGUUAAGUUUGCCGCCUGGGGAGUACGGUCGCAAGACUGAAACUUAA
rnacentral:rRNA from 1 species